rnacentral:rRNA from 1 species
AUUGAACGCUGGCGGCAUGCUUUACACAUGCAAGUCGAACGGCAGCGCGGGCUUCGGCCUGGCGGCGAGUGGCGAACGGGUGAGUAAUACAUCGGAACGUGCCCAGUAGUGGGGGAUAGCCCGGCGAAAGCCGGAUUAAUACCGCAUACGACCUGAGGGUGAAAGCGGGGGACCGAAAGGCCUCGCGCUAUUGGAGCGGCCGAUGUCGGAUUAGCUAGUUGGUGGGGUAAAGGCUUACCAAGGCGACGAUCCGUAGCUGGUCUGAGAGGACGACCAGCCACACUGGGACUGAGACACGGCCCAGACUCCUACGGGAGGCAGCAGUGGGGAAUUUUGGACAAUGGGGGCAACCCUGAUCCAGCCAUGCCGCGUGCGGGAAGAAGGCCUUCGGGUUGUAAACCGCUUUUGUUCGGGAAGAAAUCCUCUGGGCUAAUACCCCGGGGGGAUGACGGUACCGGAAGAAUAAGCACCGGCUAACUACGUG